AUGGACAGACAGACAGAUAGAUACUUUUGCUACUAUUACUAUUGCAUAAUGCAGUGGUUACACAUUUUCUUAUGAUCAUUAAGCAGCGACCCACAUUUUUAGGAAUUUGAACAAAGCAAAUUUAUUUCUCAAAAAAUUGUUGAGACACAAGAACUUUCCCUUAUAACUAAACAUGCACAUACAUUGUAAGAAUAUCACUAACACUGAUGAAUAACAGUAUAAGUUAAGGCUAUUAAAUAGCAGUCCCAAACUAGUUUUUGUUAAUAUAAUAAAGUUAGUAAGUUUGUAUGAGCCACAACAGUCAUCAAAAAUAUAGAAAAUGACACAAAGUUAAAAUAAAGUGGUAUCUUGGGUUAAGGUUACAGAAACUACAGUUAUCAUUGUAAAUACACAACACAAUACUAACAUGAACUGUUAAUAAAACACAUGAACACUGAUUCUGAUAAAUAGAAUGAACAUGUAAAUCCUUCCCAGCUAACACAUGACAUACCACUUACGUAAUUUAUUGGUACAUUUAGGUAAUUUCAUGACUUACUAGCUAAUUGACAACGUAACUACGACGUUGCAAGUUUCUAGUAUGCCUAGUAGACCUUGAUUAGCUGCUUCAGGUGUGUUUAAUUGGGGUUGUAGCCGAACUCUGCAGGACAGUGGCCGUCCAAGAGCAGGACUGGACACCCCUGUGUUAGGGGAAGGUGUAGGGAGGGUUUUUAUUCUCCCACUAAGGCAGCAUCCAUUUAAUAUUUUAAUAAAUAUAAUCAUUUACACUCUAUGAAAUUAUUGCAUCCUGUUAAUGUACAAAAAUACCGAGGUGCAAAUAGUAUCUGCCAAUACAAAGCAUAGAUAGCAUCUAAUUACUAUUUACUCUUAUUACAAAGAACUGAUACUUUUACAUGGUGUAAAUAGAAUCUAUCGCUAUUUUCAGUGUAAAUAGCAUAUCGCUAAGAAAAUGCUGCUAUUUUCACUUAGUGUAAAUAGCAUCUAUUGCUUUAUACUGCCUUAUAAUACAACACACCCCUCCGCAUUUGCGCGUCACAAUCACAGUAUAAUCUCUGACAGGACAGAAAAGUUAGUUUCUAAAAUAAUGUUAGAAUAAUUACACUGAAUUACACAUCUCAUCCAACCGCUGAUACUGAAUCAGGACAGCAUUUUUUUUUGACACAUUUUACUUAAACUGCAUCUGACAGAAGGCUCAACAGCGUUCACACGUCUUUCAAAAUAUAAGUCUUGCAUCAAAAGAACAUUUAGAAUGAUGUUUUUUGUUGUUCUGUUGUUGUUUCUUUGACUACACACUCCGCGACCCACCGCUUGAGAAACAUUGGUAUCAUGCAUACUUUCACAUAAUUAUAUAUAUAUAUAUAUUUUUUUUUAUUUAUUUAUUUAUUUAUUUUUAAUUGCAUUAAGUAUACCAUCCUAGUAUGGCAGUUCGAAAGUCACAAGCAUCACCAAACAGAAUUACAAAAAUAAUUAAAUAAAUAAUACUGAACACACUCUCGUCCGCCAUUGGUUAACAAACAGAUAACCCCACCCUGAACUCACGUGAUUGUUUGAGCCAACACUGGUGUGUCAGGCUGGUUGGGAUGCUCAAAUAAUGUUUUAAACAUUGGGAAAAAAAAGUAAUUUCACCUUUAAACGUUUGUCAAAACUCAUGUAUUUCUGGGUUAAACUGUUUUUGUUUUUACAGUUACUGUAAGUUAGUGGAGGUUUUUUUAAAUGUAUUUUUAAUUGAAUUAAUUCUUAUUCUAUUUAUAAAUUAUUUAGAUUUAUUUACUUUUUUUGCUGAUAAGUAAUUGUAAAAUAUACUUUUUAUUUUGCAAUUUAACGUAAUUAAAAAAAAAAAUUUAAUAUUUAUUUUUAAUUUAAAUGUUGUUAUUAUUAUUAUUAUUAUUAUUAUUGUUAUUAGAUUUAAGCACUUCUAAAAAUGUACUUUUUAUUUUGCAAUUAUCUGAUUUUGUGCCUAGCUCAUGUUGUCUACUUGGACAAAACUCGUGUCCGAAUUCCUUUUUGCAUUGUUCUCAUUUUUUCUCGCAAGUGUCAUUUUCUGCCUGCACCUUGCCAUUAGUAGGCUGGGUGCCUGUGUUUGGAUCUCAGAGUGGAUAAGAGCAGGUACGGCAUCAGACGGAGGUAGAGGUAAUGUAAUCUGGGUGUGGCAUCCAUCGUUCUCGCACACACAUAGAGGUAUCUUUGUCUCAUCUAGCGACUGUCUCCAGUGGGGAGUGAGAAAUCUGAGAUGGCAUGUGUGUAUGUGUUGGAUACUGGCAGUCCCACUGAGCCAUCUGCUGUAGCAAUGUGUCACUGUAAUUAGGGCUGGAUGGCUUGUGUCAGAUAAGACUGCUCCUUUACAGCUUGUGUCUCCUGCAGCUGCAGAUGCUAUGAACUAAACAACGGAUGACUAGCGGCCGCACACACACUUCUGGCCAGUGAGUUAAAGGAUCUCAUUGCAGGCAGAAUCAUAAUUUCUACUCUUAUUAUGAAUUAUCGCAUCAGUAGAUGUUAAUGAUUGACUUGGAAUGCUCCAUUCACCCAUGAACUCUGCCACAUCGAAGCAAUAGUUCACCCACAAAUUACCUAUUUUGUCAUGAUUUACUCACACUUUUACACAAAAGGAGAAGUUUAGAAGAAUGUCUUUUCCAUACAAUGAAAGUGGAUGGUUCUUCCAAGGUUUAAGAACAAAAAAAGAGCCAUAUCAUAACAGUAACAAUAUGACUUAUUGAUCUUGACACACAAUCAUGAGGGUCUUCAGGGACCACUUUUUUUUAUUAUUUAUGUGUGUGUAUAUAUAUGGGUCAAUGACGUGACGGGUCAUUUUUUUGUCCACAGGCCUUAAUAAUAAUAAAAAACAAAGAUAUGACAUCCAAAGUAUGUAAGGUAGUACAACUAGAUCUCUUUUUUGAAUCCAAAAGGUUUUAAUUAUAUUUUGCUGAAUAUAAAGGUAUUUUAAAGAUUUUGAAGUAUCAAAAGGUCAUUCGGUUUAACUGUCCAAAGGCCAAUACAGCCAUUUAAUUUGUGAUUAAAAUAUCUUGUAUUAAUUUUUUUUUUUUUUUUUUUUUAUUCUGGCAUGAUUUUAUAACAUCAUAUAUCGACAUAGUGCAAAAUGGUAUUAAAAAUUAUGUGUAAAAGUCAUUGCUUUGUUACGAGAAAGAAUGUCUGGAAAAAUUAAUUUCAUUAAUGUCAUUCAGAGUAACCAAUAUAAAGGGUACAUUUUAGAUCAAGUCAUGCGGUCAAUAUCAUGUGACAGGAUGUGACAUCAUUCAGACACCAGCAAAGGACCACAUGGUCAUGAAGCAAAGUAACUAACUCUCUCUUAACUAUUUGAAAAGUUCAUGUUUUCACUUGCUCAUACACAUGUCCCGAAACAUCAGGUCAUUCGGUACAACCGCUAUAAAACAUGGAAAAUGUUAUAAUAUUUUAAAAACUUGUACUAAAUAUAAAAUGUUUGAUUGUCCUUUUGCUAGCUAGCCUGUUAGCGCUGUUUGAAAAUAUCGUCAUUCGGUAUAACCAAAAGUGUCAUUCGGUAAAACCAAAAUUUUGGUUAAACCGAAUGACUUUUUUGGUGACAAAAUAUAAAAUUUUCUGGAGCACAUGACUUUGAUUUGGUGGAUAAAACUUUUUUCAAUUUUUAAUUUAAUUUUAAUUAUUUUGAUUUUAUAUAUAUAUAUAUAUAUUUAUUAUAUAAUAACUAAUAAUAAAUAAUAAUUAAUAUAUUAUUAAAUAUUAAUUUAUUAACAUUACGUUUUGUUAAAAUAUUUUUAAAUACACCAUUUAAAAAAGGUCUCUUCUGCUCACCAAGUUAAAUAUUAAUUAACAAGUGAGUUUGUCCUUUUGAUGAUUGUCUGAAAUUUAUUUCUCUGUUCUUCUGAAAAUUAGUGCUGUUUUCAUCAACUCUAAUAUAACCAUCAUGUUUUGUGUUUGUUUAUUCAUUCAUUGACAUUCUCUGUCUUUUAACGGCCUCUAAUACAACAGCCUGCUUCCUGAUCUCAAAGCUAUUUUCUUAUAAGGAAGUAAACAAGUCUAGAGAGGUUACAUCAGGGUAUAAUAAUCCAGUCUCCACUGUCACAUGAUCCUUCAGAAAUCUAAUCUAAUCUAAAAUGAUGAUUUGAUGAUCAAGAAACAUUUAUUGUUAUUAUAAAUGUUGAAAAUAGUUGAGCUGCUUAAUAUUUUUUUGUGGAAACGUCACUUAUUUGAAAUAGAAUUUUCUUGUAACAAAGUAAAUGUCUUUACUGUUACUUUUGAAUCAUUCAAUAUCCUUUGCUGGAUAAAAUUAUAAAUAAAAAAAGAUCUCACUGACCACAAAAUUUUGAAUGGUAGUAUAUAUUUUAAAAAUAUUUUUUAUUUUCUAACAAAUAACAUAUGUUAGAUAAAACUAAUUUAUUAUAUUUUACAAACGUCAGGGACGAACAGGACUGGCAUGAGGAACUGGAGAUGGUCUUUAUCAACUGGUCUGUUAACAAUAAACGUACAGUGGCAGAGAUGGAGGAGGCCAAUUUGGAGAAAAUUAAUCUUAAAGGAAAUGAAACGGCACAGAAGAAGCAGAGUUUGCAGAGCAUUGAACAUGGAAGGAAGUCUGCUGAAUUAAGGACAAAUCCAGAAGGAAAGACAUGAAGACGCAGAGGACAUAGGAAAGUACAGAUGUCAUGACAUUUAUUCAAGGCAUGCUACAAUUAAAGUUGAUUAGGAAAAACGUCAGCAGGGUGGGUAAUAAGAAUAAGAAUAAUAACUCUAAUAAUGAUUAUGCAUAAUAAGCCAUUCAUAAACAGAAAAAAAAAAGAAAUGCUUUCUACAAAAAAUACAAAUAAAAUCUCCACUCAAUCAUGCACUGCAAAAAUUAGAAAAUAUGUUUCUUUAAUAGUUUAUCUUCUAUUUGCAUUUAUUACAUCAAACUCAUAAACUGGAUACGCUCAUGUCUCUCCCCAAUUCCCACAAGUCACAUAAACUGCUUUACAAAUGAAAGCUGUUACUGGUAUGAUAUCAAAAUACAGAAGACAAAUUGUGUUUUUAAUGUUAAUUUCCAUAAAUAUAAAAACCAGUUCAUAUUGUUGUGUUUGUAUCUUGUUCCCCAAAACCUUUUUUUUUUUUUUUUUUUUUUUUUUUUUUGGCCA